rnacentral:lncRNA from 1 species
GGCAGCCAACAUUUGUACCCGCUAGCCCCGCGACUGCCUCGAGCAGGGACAUCAAUAAAAUAAACACUGACAGUGGGAGGGCGAAUGGCGAAUGGCGAAUGGCAAAGGAGAAGAGCAGGAAUACAACCAGUAUCAGCACCAGUGCCUGAGGAUGGUAAUGCCAACGAGCUCUACGAGGAGGCGUCUGCACAAUUGAACACGCGACAUUUGUCCAAUUUUUGUUUGUCUCAUUGACAAAACAUUUUUGUAUGUCUUCGCUCGGGGCACUGCCAAAGCUUUAGUUUUCUAGUGCGACUUUUGAUUAGAAAUCAUUCACAAAGUCACUACCAAGGGAGCGGCUCUUGAAUACAAAAGAUACAAAAUUGAUUUUGAAUUCGAUCCGAUAAAUGUGUGUGUUCGAUAGCAGAAUUUUGAGAUGUGAGCUUGUAUCCCUCGUUUUUGUUUUU